UGCCCGGUUCUGUCCAUAAGCAUUGUCUGGUGGAGAAUGUUACCCUUAAUUGGUGAAAAUAUCUAUAUCUAUUUCUCCAAUUUUUAUCAUUUUAUAUAGUAAAGUGUAUUUGUUUCUACCUUACUUAUUUUGAGAGCGAGUAUCAGUUUUAAAUUGGUCUUAUUUCGACCAUUUGAUAGUGAUAGCCAGCUCCUAGGGUAGAUGCAGAAAUGACUCAAUGCUAGGUUUAAACGAUUCAUUCAUCUUUGUUUUCUCUAAACCUAACUAACUCUUGGUUUGGCUCAUAUUUCUCAUAUUUGGUUCUUUUUUUUUACUCACAAUCAUGUAGCCUUCUAGAAUCUGUAGUAGUUUUGCACACAAAUUUUCUAAUGUAGUUGUUGUGACUUAUUGAUGCACCCAAAAGUGUCCAGAGACGAAUGGACUAUUAUUUUUUUAUUAUAUCCCUUCUAGAAUCUGUAGUAGUUUCGCACACAAUUUUCUAAGGAAAGGGGAGCUAUUAUUCCAAGUAUCAUUUUUCGUCAGGUGUUCAUAGACGAUUGCUCAUGCUCCUCUCAGAUUAUGGGCAUAUGAAUACACACAGUUUCAGUUAUUGGUAGUGGGUAGUGCCAUAUUGAUGUGAGACUUUGAGAGAGAUGUGGAACAAAAUUAAUGCAGAGACUUUCAGAGGAGAUGAAUAAAUUGUGGUUAGUGUAUAUGGGCAGUGACAAUAUUUAUAGACUAUUUUGAUCAGGACGGCGAGGAAACAAAGGGAGCCUGAUUAUAUGCGCACGGAAUUAUUUUACACAAGAUGAUUUUCAGAGAACCUCAAAAUUGGGCUAUGCAUGUAACCAUCUCAGUGUGCUGUUUUGUGCAUUCUAGGUGUACUGCUACAAUAUUCAAGUGACCUUAUUAUUCGAUGAAAUACGACCAGGAGCAGAGGUGCGAAUUCAAUGCCCACUCCCAUAUAACGAAACACAAGUGCUGGGUGUUCUUUGAUUGCUUAUUAGGAAAGAUAUUGUCGUCGGUGCAUAUGUUAACCAAGCACACCAUAUUCAAGCUUAGCACCUCCGUAUUUAGACCUGCUAUCAAGAUUACUUGAUCUGAUUUUAUUGCUUUUCUCUAGCACACAUGAUAAUCUACCACUUAGACACUUCACUAAUUUUCUGGCAUAUUUUGCAUGCUUUCUUGAUUCCUGAGUGUGAGUAGCUUGCAGACUCUUCUUUUCCUAUACCUCCACUCUAUUGAGAUUUUGUUAUUAUGAAUUUAUAUUGGUAGACAAAUUACAUUGUUACUAAAAUUGUUAUAGGCUAAUUUAUGAACUUAAAAUGUAAUAUAUCAGCAGCAGAAAUAGAUAUAUUUGUUACUUGCAUUUCUCCAAAUCCUAAUGUUUAUGCGCCGGUAGUAAUCUGCUCCUGCUUGUGCGCUAUAAUUGUGGAACUUUUAUCUGUUCAUAGAGAUUCUUCAUUGAUUUUUUGUAUAUGCUUAAAUCCCGUAUGGAAGGUGGUUCGAUCCCACUAGCAUGGACAUUUCAAAUAUUCUAGAAUGAACAAAUGGAUUGCGAAUUUGAUAUACAACCCCAGUAGUAUUUGUACAUGUCCCUUUGCUAACCCAUAUUCUAUUUAAACUAUUUUUUAGGCAUGCACAACCAUCAAAGAAGUCGCAUGUGGAGACAUUGGCCAAGAAGAAUAAAACCUAACUUAUCAUCUUCAUAUUGAGUCGGUGUCAGACAACCAUUCCAGUUGGCAUGCUUAUCUUUUGUUUGUUUUAGGCUCAACGUGGUACCAGCCUCUCAUUCCAGCUUUGCUUUUUCCAGAAGUCUUAGCUUUUAGUGUUAUAAACUUCUCAUAGAUGUUUCUUCUGUGUUCUUCUCAUUCCCUGGACUACAAAGAAUAUGUGUUAUUCCUUUAUGGUCAUUUGGUACAUCUGAAGUAGGUGCCCUCUUUUCUGAUAACGGUAGUACAAUUGGUUAUCUUAUAUUACCAAGUUUCGUGUUUAGUGUAUCUUGGUGGAGACUGAUGAAAGAUGAAACAUCUGUAUGCAGUCUGUUAUGUAUAUUUCCCUACAUUCUUUACAUCGAUUUGUAUGUUUAACAUUGUUUUUAUGAGGUGCUAAAAUAUCAUUUA